rnacentral:rRNA from 1 species
AGGAUAGAGGCCUACCAUGGUGGUAACGGGUAACGGGGUGUUAGGGCACGACACCGGAGAGGGAGCCUGAGAAACGGCUACCACAUCCAAGGAUGGCAGCAGGCGCGCAAAUUACCCAAUCCCGACACGGGGAGGUAGUGACAAUAAAUAACAAUACGGGGUUCUUUAGGAUCUCGUAAUUGGAAUGAGUACAAUUUAAAUCUCUUAACGAGGAACAAUUGGAGGGCAAGUCUGGUGCCAGCAGCCGCGGUAAUUCCAGCUCCAAUAGCGUAUAUUAAAGUUGUUGCAGUUAAAAAGCUCGUAGUUGAAUUUCGGGGUUAGUAGGUUGGUCAUGCCUCUGGUAUGUACUGGUCUCACUGAUUCCUCCUUCCUUACGAACCGUAAUGCCAUUAAUUUGGUGUUGCGGGGAAUUUGGACUGUUACUUUGAAAAAAUUAGAGUGUUUAAAGCAAGCUAACGCUUGAAUACAUUAGCAUGGAAUAAUGAAAUAGGACGUUCGAUCUUAUUUUGUUGGUUUCUAGGAUUGACGUAAUGAUUAAUAGGGAUAGUUGGGGGCAUUAGUAUUCAAUUGUCAGAGGUGAAAUUCUUGGAUUUAUUGAAGACUAACUACUGCGAAAGCAUUUGCCAAGGAUGUUUUCAUUAAUCAAGAACGAAAGUUAGGGGAUCGAAGACGAUCAGAUACCGUCGUAGUCUUAACCAUAAACUAUGCCGACUAGGGAUCGGAUGA